rnacentral:misc_RNA from 1 species
GUUUUAUAAACAGCGUCAGAAAUGUGAGACAGGGGGAUAUCGGUCAUUUUCGACACUGUAUUCUCCCGGAACAACUUCACCCAUGGAAACUGGGCCGAACUCACCGCAGAAAACGCUCUCCCGAAGUAAUCAGCAAACCUCAUUAGCAGUAUCUCCUGCUGCUCCUCAUACGAUGCCGAUAUAUCAGCAAGAAAAGCGGCGAGAUCCGCCGAAUCAAUCUUCGCGGCGGCUUCUGCCAAAGUCACCUUCGGUUUUUUCGGUUUCUUCUGCUUCACCUUCUUCUCUUCCAUCUUCUCAUUUCCUUUGGAAGGCGCAGCAUCGUCGCUAUCAUCCUCAUUUUCGUCCUCAUCGUCAGAUCGAUGCUUCGAUCUCACCGGAGCCUCAACGGCGGCAAUUGCAUCUCUCUGAGACUCAAUGAUUCGGCGGCGGCGCUCUUCAGAUUGCUGCUCCAAGGAGCGGAAGACGUUAGACUU